GUGUCAGCAGCCGCGGUAAUACGUAGGGUGCAAGCGUUAAUCGGAAUUACUGGGCGUAAAGCGUGCGCAGGCGGUUUUGUAAGACAGUCGUGAAAUCCCCGGGCUCAACCUGGGAAUUGCGAUUGUGACUGCAAAGCUGGAGUGCGGCAGAGGGGGAUGGAAUUCCGCGUGUAGCAGUGAAAUGCGUAGAUAUGCGGAGGAACACCGAUGGCGAAGGCAAUCCCCUGGGCCUGCACUGACGCUCAUGCACGAAAGCGUGGGGAGCAAACAGGAUUAGAUACCCUAGUAGUCC
rnacentral:rRNA from 1 species